CUAAAGCCUUGAUCAAAUAUCGUCGCCUUCAGUUUGACUGACAGAUCACGAUUAUGCUUGAAUUCAUUUUUUAUCCUAAUCCUGCCGUUAUUAAUGUGUAUCUUACGCGUUUAAAUGGUUACCGUGGUUGCGCCAGAAGCUGGGAGGAAGCGCUGCCUGAAAAGCAAAACUCAGAGAACACAAGCCCUAGUAUUUUGCAGCUUUGUUGUGGCGCGGCGCUGUCUCUACCGAGAAGUCAUGAUGGCAGCAAGGGACAUUUUACAAACAGAGCAAAUUGACUACGAGCCAGUGGUGAACCGCUGGCUCAUAGACUAUUACUUUUUUCUAGCUCAAGAGAUGUUUCAAAAGGACCAAUACGCGGACUUCUGUGGGUUAAGAGACAUACUGGGCUGUGUCAUCGAUCGUCCUGUGGAGCGCACUGAUACCAUGGAAACAAAGAUUCUAGUAUUGAAGUUUCUCUGCUGGAUACAUGAGGGUGAAAGACCUGGUGCAUUCUGUGAUUCUGACACGUCAGUAAGUCCUCUGGAAUCAGCCUUAAUAUUGCUGGAACGUAUGAAUCAGAAAUGCAGUAUUCCACCUCAGUAUUUCAAGAAUGUAUGCACUUCACUUAGAGAAAUGAUCGUUGGGAUUUUCAUUAAGAACAAGGACUUUGACAGAGCAAAAGCGGUGCUGAACAAACACUUUCCCAAACAAAUGGUUGGCAAGAAAGCUAUAUUCAGAGCUCUCAUCAGUCAGAAGAGUAACGCACAUGAAGUCAUCGAGCAGAUCGACUUCAAGCGGUUUAAGGAGGAGAUGUUGACCUUUUGCCAGACGCUCUGCCCAGUCAGUGUUCCCUUUCUCCACAAGGCUGCAAAACAACUUGCUGAUGAAAGACUUGCAAAUCCAGACAAGGCAGCUGUACCUGAUGAUCAAGACAAACCUGGCCCGUCCUGUAGUACACAACCAAACGGAGUCCAGUUUGUACUCUCUAAACAUACAAUUAUCCAGAAGACCAGCCUUGAGGCAGCCUACACAGUUUUAGCUUCAGGUUCUGAUGAGAGAACAUUUGCUCAGCUGGAGGAAGAAGUGGAAGAAGAGAAGCAGGCAAGGAGAGAAGAUCUUUCCCUGCGCCUCUCGCCUACUCCCGAGAAGGGCACCAAGCGGGACUCGGAGCAGGAUGGGCUAUUUCAGAGAGACUCAGGCAGCCCACUGGAAGCUUCUCCAGCAGACCAACCACAACAAACAGAUGCUGUUUCUCAAACGCAGGCAGGUUCGCUCUCAAAGACGCCCCCAGUGCGGGGGAACAGGAGGCUUUACACUGUGGCACGACUGGUGGUCGAGCCGGACAGCCAAGGGAGCUCGCAGUGCACAACAGCGUCUCAGGAACUGGAGGCUGAAGUCAGAAGAGAGGAACCACUGCAAGUACAGACAACACCCAAUAACCCGGUAACAGAAAAUGAGGUUACCCCACCCACAUGGAAGCGCUCCCGACAAGCCACCAAAAUAUGCGCCAGAGCCUCUACUAGUUUGGCAGAGUUAUCCGCAGACAGUGAGGAGUCGUCUGGCUCUGUAGCCAGUGGGGAAACUUGUGUGGGAAAAUCCCAUAACCAGUCCAACGGUUCGCUCAGCAGGACUCCAGAUAAUACAGGUGACAUCCAUAUCCUAGAUUCUUCACACAGCUCACCCGAACUCUCUGACCCUGUGCCUCAAACGAGCUCCACCCCUCACAAGGACUCCGCUCAAGACAAAGGUCCUUCCCACUCAAAAUGGAAACAGCUAUACAAUAAUGCAAAGGAGAGUAAGGAUACAUGGAGCGAUGAAGAGUCGUAUUUCACCACCAGAAAGAAGAGCAGCAAUACUUCAAAUGUAUCAGGAUUGCACAACCAGAGCACCAUUUCAAAUUCAGGCCACAGGAAGAGACAUGAGCUUUGCAGCUUUACAACUGGCUGUGCCUAACCAAUCGUCACCCCUAAUGCCUCAACCCAUCAGCCAAUCAGAGGCAGCGUAGGGCGGGUCUUUUUCUAGUCCGCUACACUGCGGAGUCUGACAGCUGAAUGCAUGAGGACGAAGUGGAGUGAGAGCGAGACUCAGAAGUUAAGAGAAGGUGUAAAAAAAUUUGGCGAGGGCAACUGGAGUAAGAUAAAGGCGUAUUACUCCUUCACUGAUCGAACAAAUGUCAACUUAAAGGACAGGUGGAGG